CCUGAAGUGGGGGAUAACCAUUGGAAACGAUGGCUAAUACCGCAUAAUGCCUACGGGCCAAAGAGGGGGACCUUCGGGCCUCUCGCGUCAGGAUAUGCCUAGGUGGGAUUAGCUAGUUGGUGAGGUAAUGGCUCACCAAGGCGACGAUCCCUAGCUGGUCUGAGAGGAUGAUCAGCCACACUGGAACUGAGACACGGUCCAGACUCCUACGGGAGGCAGCAGUGGGGAAUAUUGCACAAUGGGCGCAAGCCUGAUGCAGCCAUGCCGCGUGUGUGAAGAAGGCCUUCGGGUUGUAAAGCACUUUCAGUCGUGAGGAAGGGUAGUGUAGUUAAUAGCUGCAUUAUUUGACGUUAGCGACAGAAGAAGCACCGGCUAACUCCGUGCCAGCAGCCGCGGUAAUACGGAGGGUGCGAGCGUUAAUCGGAAUUACUGGGCGUAAAGCGCAUGCAGGUGGUUUGUUAAGUCAGAUGUGAAAGCCCGGGGCUCAACCUCGGAAUUGCAUUUGAAACUGGCAGACUAGAGUACUGUAGAGGGGGGUAGAAUUUCAGGUGUAGCGGUGAAAUGCGUAGAGAUCUGAAGGAAUACCGGUGGCGAAGGCGGCCCCCUGGACAGAUACUGACACUCAGAUGCGAAAGCGUGGGGAGCAAACAGGAUUAGAUACCCUGGUAGUCCACGCCGUAAACGAUGUCUACUUGGAGGUUGUGGCCUUGAGCCGUGGCUUUCGGAGCUAACGCGUUAAGUAGACCGCCUGGGGAGUACGGUCGCAAGAUUAAAACUCAAAUGAAUUGACGGGGGCCCGCACAAGCGGUGGAGCAUGUGGUUUAAUUCGAUGCAACGCGAAGAACCUUACCUACUCUUGACAUCCAGAGAACUUUCCAGAGAUGGAUUGGUGCCUUCGGGAACUCUGAGACAGGUGCUGCAUGGCUGUCGUCAGCUCGUGUUGUGAAAUGUUGGGUUAAGUCCCGCAACGAGCGCAACCCUUAUCCUUGUUUGCCAGCGAGUAAUGUCGGGAACUCCAGGGAGACUGCCGGUGAUAAACCGGAGGAAGGUGGGGACGACGU
rnacentral:rRNA from 1 species